GGCUGCUCCGCAGGGACGUAGAGAGCCGCAGGCCCAAGGAGGGGCCGCCCCCGCCGAGCCCGCCCCUCCGCCCCAGCGCGGCCUGUCACCGCGGCCCCAGCUUCUUCUUGGUUUCUUCGUACAUUCUGGAUCCACCCCUUUCAUGCAUAUUCCAGACCACAUUUCCACUGGAGCAGUUGAAAUGAGAGAGAUGGGAAUGGGACUCACCCGAACCAGAGGAAUUUUUAUUACAGACCCAUUAACAGAGGUGUCAAAGUCACAGGAACAAGGAUGUGCACCUCAGAAACACAGAGGUCAGUGGAAAAUCAGUUUGCUUCUAUUUGUUUAAAAAAUGGGGGACUUAUGCAUAAAUCUAAGACCUUCUUGAAUCUAACAUUCUAAGACCUGUAUGCCACAGAAAGGAGGGUCUCAGAACGCCGGAGGAUAGUAUUUAAAUCUUAAAUAUCUAUAUUGUUCUCCACAGUUACUGGGUCACCACAUAGCAGGCAUUCAAUAAAAACGUGUUUGUUUACUAAGUAA
rnacentral:lncRNA from 1 species